rnacentral:rRNA from 1 species
GACGAACGCUGGCGGCGUGCUUAACACAUGCAAGUCGAACGGAAAGGCCCUGCUUGCAGGGUACUCGAGUGGCGAACGGGUGAGUAACACGCGAGUGAUCCGCCCUCCACUUCGGGAUAAGCCUGGGAAGCUGGGUCUAAUACCGGAUAGGAGCCAUUUUUAGUGUGAUGGUUGGAAAGUUUUUUCGGUGUAGGAUGAGCUCGCGGCCUAUCAGCUUGUUGGUGGGGUAAUGGCCUACCAAGGCGGCGACGGGUAGCCGGCCUGAGAGGGUGGACGGCCACAUAGAGACCAAGAUGCGGCCCAGGCUCCGACGGGGGGCCGCAGUGGGGAAGAUUGCACUAUGAGCGCGAAGCUGAUGCAGAGACUCCGCGUGGAGGAUGACGGGCUUAGGGGUGUAAACUCCUUUCGCAAGGGACUAAGCUUUUCGUGACGGUACCUAGAUAAGAAGCACCGGCUAACUACGUG